GACGAACGCUGGCGGCGUGCCUAAUACAUGCAAGUCGAGCGGACGGAUGGGAGCUUGCUCCCAGACCGUCAGCGGCGGACGGGUGAGUAACACGUGGGCAACCUGCCUGUAAGACUGGGAUAACUCCGGGAAACCGGGGCUAAUACCGGAUAACUCUUUCCCUCACAUGAGGGAAAGCUGAAAGAUGGCAUCUCGCUAUCACUUACAGAUGUGCCCGCGGCGCAUUAGCUAGUUGGUGAGGUAACGGCUCACCAAGGCGACGAUGCGUAGCCGACCUGAGAGGGUGAUCAGCCACACUGGGACUGAGACACGGCCCAGACUCCUACGGGAGGCAGCAGUAGGGAAUCUUCCGCAAUGGACGAAAGUCUGACGGAGCAACGCCGCGUGAGUGAUGAAGGUUUUCGGAUCGUAAAACUCUGUUGUCAGGGAAGAACAAGUACCGGAGUAACUGCCGGUACCUUGACGGUACCUGACCAGAAAGCCACGGCUAACUACGUG
rnacentral:rRNA from 1 species